UCGUGCUAGGCGGGGAGCCAGCGGUGCCCUGUUUCUCGCAAUCCGCUAUAGCGAGGCUGAAUUCCCUGGCUGAGGUAUUUUAUCAGCAGAAACUGAUAAAAGCUUCAGAUGUUGAAGCACAGGUCUUGCACAGGAAGAGGGGUAUCAAAGCCCGCCAGGCCCGGAAGGGAGCAACGGUAGAUAUUUUUUCUUCAGUGUGGGCAAGUCACCUGUGUGGAGUCUUGUGUUUCUAUCAAGCCUGCUAAUAAAUAUCAAUGCCGGGUGCACGG
rnacentral:SRP_RNA from 1 species